CCGACGCCUUCACCCGUCGAGAUCGCCGUCGAGCUCCCCAAACCCUCCUCCCUCUCCCUCCGACCAACUACGACUCCGACUCCGACUCCGACCUCCUCCGCUGCUCCCUCUCAUAUCGCCGCCAGCUCGCCGCCAGUCUUCACCCGCGUCGGAGCCAAGCCCGCGAGCCCCGUCGCCGCCAGUCUUCACCCUCGUCGGAUCCAACCCCAGAUCGAGGUCAUCUCUAAACUUUCAGCUUGAUUUUGGAUCCAAGGCUCUUUAUAAGUUCCUGUUAAUUUGUCAUCAAUUUUGGAAGUUCAACGAUCGAAAUCAAACAGAAUGUUGGUCAAAUUUUGAAAAUUUGCUUUAUUUUCUAUAGUUUCCUGCUAUGAUGAUCGGAAAGUGUUCAUGAAUUGAGAAGUGUCAAAUUAUAUUUUGUUUGUUUUAUUUUCUCAACUAAUUGAAGAAUUAAUGUAGAAGAAAUAUUUUCCCCUGCUCAAGAAAUAUUUUACCCUGCUCAACUAAUUGAAAGUGUUCAUGAAAAAGAAGAAAUACCCCCCUGAAAAAUGCCCUUUUUUCCACUGCUCAAGAAAAUCAGAGGAAAAAAUUAUAAAUAAAAAAAAUGAUAAUAGCGUGCUAGAGGGCACUUUAUGUUUCCACCCGCAUGCUUUGAAUUUGUGUGUUUUCAAUUUAAGUCCUUGACUAACAUGUGUUUGAUGUCAUUGCCAUUUUAGCUGUCUAUUUUGUCUCGCUUGAUUAGCCACUGAGAAAGUGAACCCAUCAUUGAUUAAAUAAAUGCAAAUGUGCAACAUGUGUUUGAUCUUGUAAUUUUUUUGACUGUCCUCUUAAGAUGAAUUUUUUAAUCUAUGGAUUCAUUUGUUUAUUUUUGUGCACAGUGGUCUUUGAUGGUUUGAUCUUGAUGUUUGUUGUUGAUGUUAAUUUUUGUAGGUAAAAGUUAUUCUUGAUGUUUGUUCUUGAUGUUUGAUCCAAUGGAAACUGAAGAUGGUUGCUCCCAUAUUGUUGAAUAAAAAACCUCACAGUUAGAUAACUUAGUUGUGUCAAUUGUUGAUGAGCACUUAAAAUCAAAAAUAGGAAUGACUUUCAACAAUUUAGAAGAUGCCAAAAAAUUCUACAAAAAUUACGAAAAGGCCGGAGGUUUUGAUAUCCGUAAUAGCACAACAAAUUAUGGGAAGGAUAGAGAGUUAAUUUGCAAAAGUUAUAUUUGUUCGAAAGAAGGAGUGUUAAAGAGCAAAUCGUUGGAAAUUCGACGAUGUGGUACAAUUAGAACAAAUUGUAAGGCCUUGAUUCGCUUGAAAUUAGACAAAAACAUUGGCAUAUGGAGUGUCUACAAGUUCGUGGAAGAACAUAAUCAUACAAUUACUUCACCGAGUAGAACACAUUUUCUAAGGGGAAACCGUGAGGUAACAAGUGCGAAGAAGACAUUGAUAAAGCAGUUUGGAGAGGUGAACAUUCCAACAAACAAGCAAAUGGCCUUCUUUGAAAACUCUAGCGGAGGUUUUCAUAGAAUUGGAUGCAUUGAGACCGAUGUGAGAAAUUAUGAAAGAGAUUUGAGAGAGGAGAGGCGCGGUCAUGAUGCACAAAUGAUGUUGGAUCAUUUCAAGUCGGAACAAGAGAAGAAUCCUUCAUUUUAUUAUGUUUAUGAAGUUGAUGAAGUGAAACGCUUAACUCAUUGUUUUUGGGUGGAUGGCAUUGCUAGAAUGAAUUAUCAACACUUUGGCGAUGUUGUCUCCUUCAAUGCCACGCAUAACACAAAUCAAUAUGGCUUGGUAUUUGUGUCGUUUGUAGGCAUAAAUCACCAUUGGCAAAGUGUUUUUUUAGGAUGUGGCUUGAUCCCAAACGAAGAAGCGAAUUCUUUUGUAUGGUUGUUUAACAAAUGGAUUGAAGCAAUGGGUCAUCCUCCUUGGGGUAUGAUUACAGAUUAAUGUCUUGGCAUAUGCAAGGCAAUUGAAAUAGUUUUUCCAGAAAUUCGGCACAGGUUUUACGUUUGGCAUAUCUUGGACAAAGUUCCGGAGAAGUUGGGUAAAUGGGCUUAUAGAACGGAAUUUAUGAAAUCUUUCAAAGAAAAUAUUUGGGACUCUGAGACUGCUAGCUCUUUUGAAGAGAAUUGGGUUUCAAUUCUGAAGAGAAAUGGGUUAGAAAUGCAUGAUUGGCUGAAGGAUAUCUAUGAAAUUCGUGAAAAAUGGGCUCCGGUUUAUCAUAAACAACACUUUUAGGCUGGAAUGUCUAGCAGUCAAAGAAGUGAAGGGAUGAAUGCAUUGUUAAAAAUGUAUGUAUCAAGGAAAAAUUCACUUCAUGAUUUCGUGAUAAUCUUUCAGAGGGUUUUGGGGAGACAAAGAGAGGGGGAGGUUAAAGAAGAUCAUUGCACAGUGGAGAAAAAAACCAAAAUUGAAGACUUUGUGGUCAAUGGAAAAACAAAUGGCCCAAAUCUAUACGAAAAAAAUCUUUUAUAUUUUUCAAGACGAGCUUCAACCUAGCUUAAUGUAUAACAUUGAGUUGGUAAAAGAAAAUGAAAGAGAAAGUACUUUCCAAUUGAAUUUUUGUGGUCAUGAUGAAAGAUUGAGACAUAUUACAUAUUGCAAAACAACUAAAAUGGUGAGUUGUUCGUGUCUCAUGUUUGAAUUCAAGGGCAUUCCGUGCCGACAUAUCUUGGCAUAUCUUAAAAUUACCAAUCAUAAUGAGUUACCGGAGCAAUAUAUUCUAAGAAGAUGGUGCCGAAAUGUCAAAAAAAGGGUUGUUCUUAGAGAUGGUAAUAUUAUUGGAGAUAAUGCCACAAUUAAUUUUGCUUCUCGUUUUAGUGAACUAAAUUGCUUAGCUAAUGAAAUGGUCAAAGAGGGGCUAUCUUCUAAUGACGCAUAUGAAUUAAUGCGUGAAAUGAUGAUGGAUGCUAUUAAUAAGGUGCAACGUUUGAAACUCAUCAAUGAUGAGGAAAUUGGACAAGAUGUGGAUGCACAAUAUAUGAAUGUGGAGUGUUCUCAAAAUAUGGUUCAUGAACCAUGUCAAGCAAGAACAAAAGGAAGGCCUAAAGGGAAGAGGUUAAAGCCAUCAAGGGAGAUCCGCAAAUGUCGGCCUAGGAAAUGCAAAUUGUGUGGAAAGAAAGGACAAAAUCAUGAUAGCAGAAAUUGCCCUCUAAAGUUGUCAAGUGAUUCAAUGGAACAAGAUAAUAUUGAUGAAGCCACUGAUGAUUUAGAAGAUUCUUGUGAGGAAGACAGAUGAAGUUCUCACUAUUGUGUGAAGUUUGAUCAAUGUUGGCAGAGCAAAUCAUAACACUAUUGCCGAGGCCCAAGAAGAAGGUCAAGUAGGCUGCUUAUUUCAUCAGAGAAAAUGUUUGAUGCAGAACAUGAAUAUCUCUUCAAUAUUCUUUGUUCAGUUUAUACUGAUUUUGUCUGUGUUAAUUACGUUUAAAUUAUUGUAGGCUAACUUGUGUGGAAGCACAAUAUUUUGUCUGUGUUAAUUACGUUCAAUAUUCUCUAAACUUGGGAUUCCGAGAGCUGCGUUGCUUAUGGUUGGGGGGCCGGCUGAUUCUAUUCCUUAUUAUUAUGCUCAACAGCAUCCAGGCAUGUUUAUGGGGGAAAAACAUGGACCAGUCUGCUGAUUUCUAUGCUGCUCAUCAACCUCAUUCUAGGGCUUAUAUGUGGCCUCAAGUGCAAUCAGCCCAACAACAGCAAGCACAGCAGCAGCAUCAACAACAGCAGAUGCCUGAUAAUGGCUAAAGUUAAUAUUAGGCGCUAUUGUAGUAGGCGCUAUUGUCACGUGUUAGCUUUUUUAGGGGCGAUGAUGGCUUUCAUGUUUAUUUCAACUUGCAGCGAAAAAUGAGACGGUCCGAAUUUCAUAACUGUUGAUCA